rnacentral:rRNA from 1 species
GACGAACGCUGGCGGCGUGCCUAAUACAUGCAAGUCGAGCGAGCGGAACCAACAGAUUUACUUCGGUAAUGACGUUGGGAAAGCGAGCGGCGGAUGGGUGAGUAACACGUGGGGAACCUGCCCCUAAGUCUGGGAUACCAUUCGGAAACAGGUGCUAAUACCGGAUAAGCCCACAGCUCGGCAUCGAGCAGAGGGAAAAGGAGUGAUCCGCUUUGAGAUGGCCUCGCGUCCGAUUAGCUGGUUGGUGAGGUAACGGCCCACCAAGGCGACGAUCGGUAGCCGGACUGAGAGGUUGAACGGCCACAUUGGGACUGAGACACGGCCCAG